GCCACAGUUGGUUGAGGAAGGAAGGGGCAGUCAUCUGAUCCAGGCCAGAGUUCCUUUUUCUCUACACUUGGAAUUGGGAGAGAGAGGGCAAAAGAUCAACUGACUUUCCUUCUCCAGAGAGCUAGACCUGUAAAAGGAAGAAGAAAGGAGGCUGGACGAAGGAGGAAACCUGAAGGAGGCAGUUUUAAACCAGCUGUAGGACUCCUAACCCUGCGUCUGUGAAUCAUCAAAUAAUUUACACAGAUGAUAUUUGGUCUCUAGUACUACUGUAUCCAUUACCUAUCGCUGCAUAAAAAUCAUCCCAAAACUUUGUGGCUUAGAACACCAACAUCUUCACUGUCACAAGUUUCUGGGGGUCUGGAACCAGGGCACGGCUUAGCUGGAUUCCUUGGCGCAGAGUCUCUCAAGAGGCUGCACUCAAGCAUCAGCAGAAACUGUAGUCAUCUCCAAGCUCGACCAGGGGAAGAUGUACUUCCAAGCUCCCUCCUGUGGCUGUUGGCAGGCCUUCGGUCCUGGCUGACUCUUGACGGGAGGCAUCAAUUCCUUGCCAUGCAGGCCUCUGAAGAGUGCUACUCACAACAUGGCCUCUGGCUGGUGGCUGCUCUCUGUUCCUUGCCACAUGGGCCUCUACACAGAGCAGAUCACAACAUGGCAUCCUGCUUCAUCAGAGAGAAGGCAAGAAAAGCCUGAGACAGAAUAGGAGCAAAGGGCCUGCUCUUUUGUAAUCUAAUCUCAGAAGUGACAUCCCGUCACCUUUGCUGUAUCUUGUUAGAAGCAAGUCAUUAGAUACAGCCUGCACUCCAGGUGAAGGGAUUAGACAAGGGGGUGCACAUCAGAAGGCAGGGAUCAUCAAGAAUAAUGUGAGAAGCUGAUCUCCACAACUACUUUAAAGAAGGCUCUUUUCCUUGCUGGUCUAGUCAAUCUUGGAUCUUAGUUUCAGGGUCAGCCUCCCUGGAGCCACACCAGAAUGUGGCUGUGUCCAAUGUCACCCACCCGGAAUCCAAGACUCCUAAGUUCCUGAUCAGUCCUCUGUUUUCUUUCAUGCGUGUCUAGUUAGGACCCUAGCACACAUACAUGGAGCCCCACAGUGCCAAGCAGAAGAAUUUGACUUUAAAACACAGGCUCUAAGGUUUCUAAACAGAAGAGUGCUAUGACAGAAGUGAUUUUUAAAGAAAGAUUAGUGUGAUGACUGUAAAGUGAGUUGGAGAGGGAAAGACUGGAAAUUACAUUAAUUCCAAUUUAUUUACACUUAGCAUAUUUAUGCUCUACGGUUUUGUAGUUUGUGAUUGUAAAAACAUCCCAUGUGUUUUCAUAAGUCCUAAUAAAAUGGUCUUUGAAAGAAUUAUUCCGGCCAAAAAUAUUUCAAGUAAAAUGCUACAUUGGAAAGUCUAAGACCAAGUUUUAUGAUACACAAUAUUUUCG